rnacentral:rRNA from 1 species
GACGAACGCUGGCGGCGUGCCUAAUACAUGCAAGUCGAACGCAGUGGGGACGGGUGAGUAACACGUGGGUAACCUCCCAUCAGAGGGGAUAAAACUUGGAAACAGGUGCUAAACUGAUACUGAUGGAUGGACCCGCGGUGCAUUAGCUAGUGGGUGGGGUAACGGCUCACCUAGGCCACGAUGCAUAGCCGGCCUGAGAGGAUGAUCGGCCACACUGGGACUGAGACACGGCCCAGACUCCUACGGGAGGCAGCAGUAGGGAAUAUUCGGCAAUGGGCGAAAGUCUGACCGAGCAACGCCGCGUGAAUGAAGAAGGUUUUCGGGUCGUAAAGCUCUGUUGUCAGAGAGGCGGUAUCUAACCAGAAAGCCACGGCUAACUACGUGCCAGCAGCCGCGGUAAUAC